rnacentral:rRNA from 1 species
CAGGCCUAACACAUGCAAGUCGAGCGAGAAAGCCCUUCGGGGUGAGUAGAGCGGCGGACGGGUGAGUAACGCGUAGGAAUCUACCCAGUAGUGGGGGACAACAGUCGGAAACGGCUGCUAAUACCGCAUACGCCCUACGGGGGAAAGCGGGGGACCUUCGGGCCUCGUGCUAUUGGAUGAGCCUGCGUAAGAUUAGCUAGUUGGUGAGGUAAAGGCUCACCAAGGCGACGAUCUUUAGCUGGUCUGAGAGGAUGAUCAGCCACACUGGGACUGAGACACGGCCCAGACUCCUACGGGAGGCAGCAGUGGGGAAUAUUGCGCAAUGGGCGAAAGCCUGACGCAGCCAUGCCGCGUGUGUGAAGAAGGCCCUAGGGUUGUAAAGCACUUUCAAUUGGGAGGAAAGGUUAGUCGUUAAUAGCGGCUAGCUGUGACGUUACCUUUAGAAGAAGCACCGGCUAACUCCGUGCCAGCAGCCGCGGUAAUACGGAGGGUGCGAGCGUUAAUCGGAAUUACUGGGCGUAAAGCGCGCGUAGGCGGUUUAUUAAGUCGGAUGUGAAAGCCCCGGGCUCAACCUGGGAACUGCAUCCGAUACUGGUCGACUAGAGUGCGAGAGAGGGAGGUAGAAUUCCACGUGUAGCGGUGAAAUGCG